CCUACGGGUGGCAGCAGUCGAGAAUCAUUCACAAUGGGGGAAACCCUGAUGGUGCGACGCCGCGUGGGGGAAUGAAGGUCUUCGGAUUGUAAACCCCUGUCAUGUGGGAGCAAAUUAAAAAGAUAGUACCACAAGAGGAAGAGACGGCUAACUCUGUGCCAGCAGCCGCGGUAAUACAGAGGUCUCAAGCGUUGUCCGGAAUCACUGGGCGUAAAGGGGGCGUAGGCUGUUUCGUAAGUCGGGUGUGAAAGGCGCGGGCUCAACCCGCGGACGGCACAUGAUACUGCGAGACUAGAGUAAUGGAGGGGGAACCGGAAUUCUCGGUGUAGCAGUGAAAUGCGUAGAUAUCGAGAGGAACACUCGUGGCGAAGGCGGGUUCCUGGACAUUAACUGACGCUGAGGCACGAAGGCCAGGGGAGCGAAAGGGAUUAGAUACCCUAGUAGUC
rnacentral:rRNA from 1 species